UACGUAGGUGGCAAGCGUUGUCCGGAAUUAUUGGGCGUAAAGCGCGCGCAGGCGGCCUCCUAAGUCCGAUGUGAAAGCCCACGGCUCAACCGUGGAGGGUCAUUGGAAACUGGGGGACUUGAGUGCAGGAGAGAAGAGUGGAAUUCCACGUGUAGCGGUGAAAUGCGUAGAGAUCCGGAGGAACACCAGUGGCGAAGGCGGCUCGCUGGGCUUACCUGACGCUGAGGCGCGAAAGCGUGGGGAGCGAACCGG
rnacentral:rRNA from 1 species